UGAAGGAAGAAGCAUGGUAAUAUGCACAAAAAUUGAAUUGGGUCUCUAAGCUUGCCCUCUCUAAUACCAUUUGGCUUUGAUUUGGUUUGGCAACAAAACAUGUAC